UGCUGGCUGGGCUGGCUGGUGCGAUGCUGCACUACUACUGCUUGCGUGCAGUGAGCGUGUGUUGGCAGGGAUUGUGUUGCCGUGGCCAUGAAGAAGCACUGUCGUGUCAAGCUGGCAAGGCGAUGGUGUCACCUUUGAGCCAUGUCUGUGGUGUAACAGCUACAGGUGUGGACGGGUGUGGGCAGCGCUCUGCACACGUUGUGGAGUCUGUCGGCUCGUCUGCAUGCCUUUGGAUGCCCUUAAAAAGGUGUCUGCGGGCGGAUGGCACGUUUACUUUGAACAAAUUUGAGUGCUCAAAUCAGGCCGAUGUUGCCUGAAAAGUUUUGCAUGGAAUAAUGGAAUAGGACUUCGGUUCUAUUUCGUUGGUUUCGGAUCCGAAGUAAUGAUCAAAAGAGACAGGCGGGGACGUUUGUAUGGCUGCGCUAGAGGUGAAAUUCAUGGACCGUAGCCAGACAGACUAAAGCGAAAGCAUUCGUCAAGCAUGUUUUCAUUGGCCAUGAGCGAAAGUCAGAGGCUCGAAGACGAUCAGAUACCGUCCUAGUUCUGACCAUAAACGAUGCCAACUGACGAUCCGUGGUGGUAGUAGUGUUACCUUCCCCACGGGCAGUCCCCGGAAACCUUUAAGUGUUUGGGUUCCGGGGAAGUAUGGUUGCAAAGCUGAAACUUAAAGGAAUUGACGGAAGGGCACCACCAGGAGUGGAGCCUGCGGCUUAAUUUGACUCAACACGGGAAAACUCACCCGGGCCGGACACUGUGAGGAUUGACAGAUUGAGAGCUCUUUCUUGAUUUGGUGGUUGGUGGUGCAUGGCCGUUCUUAGUUGGUGGAGCGAUUUGUCUGGUUAAUUCCGAUAACGAACGAGACUCCAACCUGCUAAUUAGUGCGUUUGUCCACUGCGCCUGCGUAGGUGACGCUGGAUGACACCACCUGUCACGAGGACGUGGCAGCGGCUCUUCUCUCCCCUUCUCCGCUCGAAUGCCCUCCAGCGCCUCCUCCUCCUCCUCCUCCUCUCCUCCCCCUUCUUCAGCGCCUCAUCUGGCCGGCUGGCUGGCUGGCCGGGUGAGGCGGUGGUGGCGGUGGCGGUGGUGAGGGCGAUGGGGUGGGGAUGGUGCGGGUGGGCGAGUGGAUUGUGGUGGAGGCGUGGGGUUGGGUGCGGCGCUCGUGGCCGGUUAGUCUGGCGUUGGCCUCCGGGUGUGGCGCGAAUGCCUACUUCUUAGAGGGACAAGCGGGAGAAGCCGCACGAAAUAGAGCAAUAACAGGUCUGUGAUGCCCUUAGAUGUCCGGGGCCGCACGCGCGCUACAAUGACGGUGUCAGCGAGUCAGGCUUCUGGCCCGAAAGGGUUGGGCAAACUGGUCAAUCACCGUCGUGACAGGGAUCGGGGCUUGGAAUUGUUUCCCGUGAACGAGGAAUUCCUAGUAAGUGCAAGUCAUAAGCUUGCGCUGAUUACGUCCCUGCCCUUGUACACACGCCCGUCGCUACUACCGAUUGAAUGGUUAGUAAGGUCCUCGGAUUGGCGUCAUUGCGACGGUGGCCGAGAGGUCACAGCCGAGGGGGCGCUGAGAAGACGACCGAACUUGAUCAUUUAGAGAAGUAAAAGUCGUCCGUAACAAGGUUUCCGUGGUGAACCUGCGGAAG
rnacentral:rRNA from 1 species